AGGGUUCGAUUAUGGCUCAGGAUGAACGCUAGCGGCACGCUUCAUACAUGCAAGUCGAGGGGCAGCAUAAAUUACUUGUAAUUUGAUGGCGACCGGCGAACGGGUGCGUAACGCGUAUGCAACUUACCUUUUACUAGAGAAUAGCCAAGAGAAAUUUUGAUUAAUGCUCUAUACUCUUAUUAAUUCACAUGAGUUUUUAAGAAAAGCUCCGGCGGUAAAAGAUGGGCAUGCGUCCUAUUAGCUUGUAGGUGAGGUAACGGCUCACCUAAGCUCCGAUAGGUAGGGGUCCUGAGAGGGAGAUCCCCCACACUGGUACUGAGACACGGACCAGACUUCUACGGAAGGCAGCAGUAAGGAAUAUUGGACAAUGGAGGAAACUCUGAUCCAGCGAUGCCGCGUGAAGGAAGACGGCCCUAUGGGUUGUAAACUUCUUUUAUACGGGAAUAAACCUAUCCACGUGUGGGUAGCUGAAGGUACUGUAAGAAUAAGGAUCGGCUAACUCCGUGCCAGCAGCCGCGGUAAUAC
rnacentral:rRNA from 1 species